rnacentral:misc_RNA from 1 species
GUAGGUGAACCUGCGGAAGGAUCAUUACUGAACCAACACCGUCCACCUUCUUGUAGUGGACCAUUCAACGGCCUGUCAUCGGAAUUUGAUGAUGAUCAACUCGGCUCGUUGGCCAACAUUGGGCGAUGGGUGCUUCUUGAUUUUGAUGCUCAUUUACCAGGUUGGAUUGAGACGCUCAUCACUUAGUGCCUACAUGUGGCAGACCUGUGUGGGAUGGGUGCCUUUUUCAAGAGGUUGAAGUUGGUCAGAU